CAAUAGAGACAGACAACGGUC
rnacentral:siRNA from 1 species